CUUGCUCCUGGAUUCAGCGGCGGACGGGUGAGUAAUGCCUAGGAAUCUGCCUGGUAGUGGGGGACAACGUUUCGAAAGGAACGCUAAUACCGCAUACGUCCUACGGGAGAAAGCAGGGGACCUUCGGGCCUUGCGCUAUCAGAUGAGCCUAGGUCGGAUUAGCUAGUUGGUGAGGUAAUGGCUCACCAAGGCGACGAUCCGUAACUGGUCUGAGAGGAUGAUCAGUCACACUGGAACUGAGACACGGUCCAGACUCCUACGGGAGGCAGCAGUGGGGAAUAUUGGACAAUGGGCGAAAGCCUGAUCCAGCCAUGCCGCGUGUGUGAAGAAGGUCUUCGGAUUGUAAAGCACUUUAAGUUGGGAGGAAGGGUUGUAGAUUAAUACUCUGCAAUUUUGACGUUACCGACAGAAUAAGCACCGGCUAACUCUGUGCCAGCAGCCGCGGUAAUACAGAGGGUGCAAGCGUUAAUCGGAAUUACUGGGCGUAAAGCGCGCGUAGGUGGUUUGUUAAGUUGGAUGUGAAAUCCCCGGGCUCAACCUGGGAACUGCAUCCAAAACUGGCAAGCUAGAGUAUGGUAGAGGGUGGUGGAAUUUCCUGUGUAGCGGUGAAAUGCGUAGAUAUAGGAAGGAACACCAGUGGCGAAGGCGACCACCUGGACUGAUACUGACACUGAGGUGC
rnacentral:rRNA from 1 species